rnacentral:tRNA from 1 species
GGGGAUUUAGCUCAGUGAUAGAGUGCUUGCCUAGCAAGCACAAGGCCCUGGGUUCAGUCCCCAGCUCCG